rnacentral:pre_miRNA from 1 species
CAUAUACUCCCUCCGUCCUAAAAUUCUUGUCUUCAAUUUAUCUAAAUAUAAAUGUAUCUAGUCACGUUUUAGUAUUUAGAUACAUCCAUUUCUAGAUAAAUUUAAGACAAAUUUUUUGGGACAGACGGAGUACCUA